rnacentral:rRNA from 1 species
GAUGAACGCUGGCGGCGUGCCUAAUACAUGCAAGUCGAGCGAACAGACGAGGAGCUUGCUCCUCUGACGUUAGCGGCGGACGGGUGAGUAACACGUGGAUAACCUACCUAUAAGACUGGGAUAACUUCGGGAAACCGGAGCUAAUACCGGAUAAUAUAUUGAACCGCAUGGUUCAAUAGUGAAAGACGGGUUUGCUGUCACUUAUAGAUGGAUCCGCGCCGCAUUAGCUAGUUGGUAAGGUAACGGCUUACCAAGGCAACGAUGCGUAGCCGACCUGAGAGGGUGAUAGGCCACACGGGAGCUGAGACACGGUCCAGACUCCUACGGGAGGCAGCAGUAGGGAAUCUUCCGCAAUGGGCGAAAGCCUGACGGAGCAACGCCGCGUGAAUGAUGAAGGUCUUCGGAUCGUAAAACUCUGUUAUUAGGGAAGAACAAAUGUGUAAGUAACUAUGCACGUCUUGACGGUAACUAAUCAGAAAGCAACGGCUAACUACGUG